rnacentral:rRNA from 1 species
GACGAACGCUGGCGGCGUGCUUAACACAUGCAAGUCGAACGGAAAGGCCCUGCUUUUGUGGGGUGCUCGAGUGGCGAACGGGUGAGUAACACGUGAGUAACCUGCCCUUGACUUUGGGAUAACUUCAGGAAACUGGGGCUAAUACCGGAUAGGAGCUCCUGCUGCAUGGUGGGGGUUGGAAAGUUUCGGCGGUUGGGGAUGGACUCGCGGCUUAUCAGCUUGUUGGUGGGGUAGUGGCUUACCAAGGCUUUGACGGGUAGCCGGCCUGAGAGGGUGACCGGCGACCUUGGGACUGAGAUACGGACCAGACUCGUACGGGAGGCAGAAGUGGGGAAUAUUGCACAAUGGGCGGAAGCGUGAGGCAGCAACGCCGCGUGCGGGAUGACGGCCUUCGGGUUGUAAACCGCUUUCGCCUGUGACGAAGCGUGAGUGACGGUAAUGGGUAAAGAAGCACCGGCUAACUACGUG